rnacentral:lncRNA from 1 species
UGUCCACCAGAUGUUUGCUCAUACAAUGUUAUUGUCUGAGGAUUUCUCCAGAACAACGAGAAGAUUUGAUAGAUGAAGCAUGCAAAGCUUUCAGAAAAAUGGAAGAGGAUGGCUGUCCUCCAGAUGCUUGCUCAUACAAUGUUAUUGUCUAAGGAUUUCUCCAGAACAACAAGAAGAUUUGAUAGAUGAAGCAUGCAAAGCUUUCAGAAAAAUGGAAGAGGAUGGCUGUCCUCCAGAUGUUUGCUCAUACAAUGUUAUUGUCUGAGGAUUUCUCCAGAACAACGAGAAGAUUUGAUAGGUGAAGCAUGCAAAGCUUUCAGAAAAAUGGAAGAGGAUGGCUGUCCUCCAGAUGUUUGCUCAUACAAUGUUAUUGCCUGAGGAUUUCUCCAGAACAACGAGAAGAUUUGAUAGGUGAAGCAUGCAAAGCUUUCAGAAAAAUGGAAGAGGAUGGCUGUCCUCCAGAUGCUUGCUCAUACAAUGUUGUUGUCUGAG